CCGGCGGCGGCGGCCGCGCUGCCGGCCGAGCGUAAGGUGCCCGGGUGCACGCCGCGGGGCAACCUCCCCCGAGAGGCCGUGAUUGCGAUGGAUGAGUGAAAACUUACUUUGUUACCAGGGCUGCCUUCUUUCAAAUGCGCACCUAAGAAAAACGACGCAAGCAAGCAUUACUGUCUUCCCUGCCUGCCUGCCUGCGUGGAGUCCAACCGGGGAGUUUAGUGCAACGCCUGAAGUUGUUCUCCGAGUUUUCUGAGAUUUAAGAUUGCCCCACGAAAGAGUUAUUUGAUGGAUCGCGUGUAACUGAGCACUGAAAGUCCGCGCAGCACUUGCUUAGUGGUGGAAAGGGAAACCUGGGGGCAAAUAAAUGGCAAAGAGUGUUAAAUUUCCUUUUUCAAUUAGUGUUAAAAAUGGCUCUGUGAACUGUGGUCAGCUGAAGCGUAUUGCAGUACACCAAAGGUUUUCUUUCAAGUCACUUGCUGGAUAAGCAGUUAAGUAUUUUCUAAGUAAUGGCAUCUAACCAUAUGGUGUGGGUGGCUAGUUUGUUUCUGGAAAUGGUUUGAUUACAUCCCUUUGUGGUUGGUUAUGACAUUUUCUAGAAGAGGGCCUGACAACCUUAUAUACUCGAGGCUUACUUUACAACAAAUGCACUUAUUUAUUUAACAUUUUUGUUUAGAUAAAAUAAAUAUUUACCAUAGUGUCCAGGCAAAUACAGUGUGAAAAAAUAGAAAGCUGACUCAGUUCUGACUUUACUACAGACUGAGAAGGGUGUAAGAAUAAUUUGUAAACACAAUAUCUAAGGCAAGAAAUUAAAGCUGUUUAUACUUACUUGAUGACGCUAGACAUUUCUGGUGGUUUCUCACAAUAAUCAUUUGUAACAUUUUAAACUUUUUUUCCACUUGCUCUGGCACUUCAAAUAAAAGCAGUUUUCCAGUUAACAAGUUUAAAUGUAAUUGUUCGGAGGUAGUGCUCGCUGGUUUGCAAUCGCUUCCUUCUCUUUUCUUGUGAAGACAAUUCAAAUGUCUAUAUAUACUGGGAUAUUAAUUAUUUGGUGAUGGAUAAAAAGGUAGAACACCCCCCCACACACACACACACACACACACACUCACACACUCACACCAAUCUUUUAUUUAGGGACAGUGGUUCUGUUUGCCCUGAGCAGUUCCUGCUUCCGAACUGUAGAUCUGGAUUAGAGUGAAUUGGCGACUGUUCAGUUUACCAGCUACAGGAUUUUGGCAAAAUUCUCUUUCCUUUGUUCUCAUUUAAUAUUAAUCAAUAGCGAGAUCUUGUAUUGCUUGCGUCUCCGUGUGAUUAGAAAUGGAUGAUGACUUUCUAGCUCGGGGAGAUUUUUCUAGUCUGCUUUUUAGCAAAUCGUGGCUGUGUGCAUGUGAACUUCCCUGCCUUGCCUUGCUACAAGCUGUCCUUUCGAAUAAAUGUUGGCAACAAAGAAAAGCAGAAAAUCUGAAACAAAGCCCUGUAAAGGCCUGGGAGAAAUGCUAGGAAAAGUGGGACUCUCUUACCUGACAGCAAACAAAGUUUGUGUUUAUAGCAAAAAUCACCUCCCUGUAGACAUAAAGGAGCCAUAGGUAAAUGUUUCUCUUUUGGAUGGUUUUUAAAUAUAACAUGUUAAAUAUAGAGAAGAGGACUUUAUAAAUACAACCAAUCCUUCUCUCACUCUGUAUUAAAAAAAAACCAAAAAAAAACAAAAAAAAAAAAAACAAAAAAAACCCCCACUCUGAAUGUUCCUGGUCCAAAAGAUAGCCUUUUAGUAUAUCUGAGAGCUUCCAAUACUUUUCUUUGAGAGAUGGAUUUAUUUUAUUGCUUUGAAGUAUAUGCUCUCAAUUGGUGAAUAACAUUAGAAGUUCUUAAAGACAUUUCCUAUUGCCUCUCAUGUAAUCUUUCCUAUUUCUGAACAGUCAGCAAUUCAGCUUUCUUUUUUUUCCAGAGCAUGACUCCCUUCUUAUCUAUUUUUAUUAAUAUGAGAUUCUACAAAAGUUGGAAUUUCUCUCUCUUUUUUUUUAAUUAAGCACACUUAUCUGUUAUAAUCUGCUUUUUAUUCCUACUAGAAUACAAAAUUAAGAAAUUGAAUGUAUUUGGCCUUGUGAUCUAAAGGACUUGUAGCUCUAUCAGGAAUUGUAACAUAAUGUCACAAACAGAAGUAUUAACAUAUUUAAAAUUAAAAGAAUACUUCUGCUUUACACUACUAGUGGGAAUAGCUAAAAAUGUGCAUACCACUAACUUAGGCCUUCUGUAGAAAUGUCUCAUCUUGGUUAGUAAUCAGUUCCCAGAAGAAUUCCCAAAGAAAGUCUGUUUUAUUAAAAAAUAUAUCCAGAUAUAAACUUCUUUUAUUCCUAAAAGUGUUCUUUACUAGUUUUUACUUUAAUUUACAUUACCUCUGUUUUGGGAGGGGGGUAAUUUUUGUGUAUAUUUCAUCUCUCUCUGUCUCAACUUCAGCAAAUUCUUUGGCUUAAAAGCUUCGAACUUGGCACGUAUGUCAUCCUCAUUGAGAAAUGCGGGCUGCGUCGCAGCCUGAUCCUGCUCAGAGCGGAGUGUUGUCUUUCUGUGAUUUCCUCAAUGCCAGCUGAGGAUGCUCUGCUCCUUGAGGGCUCGCUCACCCAGUUUUGAAAGAGGCUGCGGAGAGAAAUUGUGAAUGGAUGGAUGAAAGUGGCAACGAAUGAAUGAACAAAUACUUUUUUUUUUUUUUCCCUUCCUGCUGCAGAUGCAUGUUUACCACCAGGAUGAUAGCUUUUGAUGUUUCCUCUUCACAUCUUUGCAAAGCGUCUUCACGCUUUCCUAAAACAGAGGACAGGAAGUUUUUUGGGGGGGAGGAGGGGGAGAGGAAAGAAAUGUCUUUUGUUACUUGGUGUUUCCCAUUGAGUUAUUAUGUGGCCUGUGUAUUUUGAGGCUGUUUCUCAGAUCUGUGCGACUAGGAAUGCGUGGGUGUGUUAAUUGGGACAUACGAGGAUCCAAAGUGACAACGUGGUCUUCGUGUUUAAACUGCCCCACAGAAGGUAGUCAUUGGGCAACUUUAAUCCAUGCCGAAGCCUCCUGAUGUAGGUCCUAAGCCUGGCCUGUUCUUUUUUGCUUUGUUAGGGAGCUUGCAGCAAACUUGGAUUUAUUACAAGCUGCAAGUUAAGCGAGCUAGAACAGCCGCUUUAAGAAGUUCAAUUUGCUUAUCCUUUAUAUAUAUAUAUAUAUAUAUAUAUAUUUUAUAGUCCCAGUCAGAAGACUAACACAGGUACAGCAUCCCUAUUGGAAAUGCUUUCUAGUUCCAGAAACAGCCUGCUCACCAGCGGGUGACACAGCAGUACGUGAGGAGAAGGCGUAAGUGAGAUGUUGAGUCUUGCCAAGCUGAAAAGCUGAGAUCCCCCGUUUUGCUGGUGGGUAACACCAGGACGAGGAGGUUUCUCCUGCGGCUCUAGCAUUUCCAGCUGCUGCAUGAGUAGCUCCUGUCCACCAUCCUCUGCCUUUUGGGGCUGAGAGGUUUCUUAGCCAUUUGCAUCUUUUCUUUCUCUCUACCUGCUUCUAGGCACAUGGAGAAGAGGAAAGCUAAUUGCCUUGCUGAGGCACAUCUGAGAGUCCAUCUCAGUUAUUUUAAUCGGUUUGAGACUUAGUGGCUGUUCAGUGCUGGCACGUCUUUCCUCGUUUCUCCUUUUCAAAAGUCAUUUUUCUUCAGAUAAGUAACUGUGGUGCCAGACCCCGCUGUCUUGCCAGUGGCAGCUGAGGGAUUCCUGCCUGUUGUUUUUGGGAUCCUGGAGAGCUACUUUGCCCAUUCCUAGGCUGUUGCAUGGGAAAGUUGUGAGCUGGGACAGUCGUCAUCACCGCCUGUCUGCGGAGUGGCAAAGACAGUGCUGCAUCAGUUCACAUGUCAAGGAUAUCUCCUCAGCGAUAAGAUCCAUGAAACGGAUUAGAAAAAUAAAUGUUGUUGUUUAAGGUAAAAUGAGGGCUUUAUCUGUUCGUCUCAUUGUUUAAGAGUGAGAGCUUUGCAACUGCUAGGAACACAUUGAGUUUUGUGUGUGUGUUUGUUUUCUGGUUCUCCAGCAUGUUGUACUUAAAAGGAAGGAUAAAUGUACCUUUAUCCCGUAACCAGUUUUUAACGCUAAGUGUCCUGCCGUCUGCCCAGAAAACAAGAGCAGCCUAAGUACAACAUGCAGACUUUUUAAAUUUGAGGGAGGAGGAGGUAGAUGACAUUAAUAUUUAGGCAAAUAAAUUUAGAUAUUGAACAUUUUCUUGCGUAGUCUUCUGUUAGACAUGUGGUGUUACACCAUACGCCUAAUUAUGCUAAUAAGCAUUCUUGAACUGUAAUUACUCUGAGAAGAUUUACUAGCAUUACCAUUCUGGUUACUAGAAACUGAGCAAUACUGAGGAGUUAUGUCAUCUGCUGAGUUGCUAAAACACAAACGUGUAAAAUAUUUUAAGUAAGGCUCCAGAAAAAUUAUGCAUGGAUUCCACAUUUUUUUUAUAUAUACACACACACACACACACACACACACACACGUGUAUAUAUGUAUAUGUUUGCACAUGGCUUCAUUUACACAAACUAAAGCUACUGAGUUGUUUUUCUUCUUUAUUCUCACAAAAAUCUAGAUGCUCCUGAGAAAACUGUCAUGAUUGGUUUAGAGUCUGUUUUUGUCAAUCUGUUAAGUCAAGAAAUUAAUAUUACGGCAUAUUGGCAAAAGAAUAAAAUACAGUAGUGACUUUCUGCUCUUUCUGCGCUGAGUAUGAAGUGUGAAAAUGCAAAGCUGUGGGCCUGAAAGAAAUCCUGUGUAUGCUGGGUUGUCAUGUUAAUUAAAUAAACAGUCAGAACAGUGA